rnacentral:rRNA from 1 species
UAUUGAAAAUAAACCUGAUGAGUUGCUGCUGGUUCUCUAGGGAGCAUUGUGCACACUCGUCGUUUUUAUAUCUCCACCUGUGCACCUUUUGUAGACCUGAAUAAUCCUUCUGACUGCGCAAGUCAGGUUUUGAGGAAUUGACUUUUCAGUCUUUCCUUGCAAUUUCAGGCCUAUGUUUCUUCAUAUACUCCUUAAUGUAUGUUAUAGAAUGUAACAGGCCCUGUGCCUAUAAUCUAUACAACUUUCAGCAACGGAUCUCUUGGCUCUCGCAUCGAUGAAGAACGCAGCGAAAUGCGAUAAGUAAUGUGAAUUGCAGAAUUCAGUGAAUCAUCGAAUCUUUGAACGCACCUUGCGCUCCUUGGUAUUCCGAGGAGCAUGCCUGUUUGAGUGUCAUUAAUAUAUCAACCUCUUCAGCUUUUGCUUGUCGAGAUGGUUGGAUGUGGGGGGUGUUUUGCUGGCCUUUUUUGAGGUCAGCUCCCCUGAAAUGCAUUAGCGGAACAAUUUGUCGACUCCGUUCAUUGGUGUGAUAACUAUCUACGCUAUUGAUGGGUGAAGGCAGAGUUCAGCUCCUAACAGUCCAUUGACUUGGACAACUUUUUUAUUUAAUGUGACCUCAAAUCAGGUAGGACUACCCGCUGAACUUAAGCAUAUCAAUAAGCGGAGGAAAAGAAACUAACAAGGAUUCCCCUAGUAACUGCGAGUGAAGCGGGAAAAGCUCAAAUUUAAAAUCUGGCAGUCAUUUGGCUGUCCGAGUUGUAAUCUAGAGAAGUGCUAUCCGCGCUGGACCGUGUACAAGUCUCCUGGAAUGGAGCGUCAUAGAGGGUGAGAAUCCCGUCUUUGACACGGACUACCAGGGCUUUGUGAUGUGCUCUCAAAGAGUCGAGUUGUUUGGGAAUGCAGCUCAAAAUGGGUGGUAAAUUCCAUCUAAAGCUAAAUAUUGGCGAGAGACCGAUAGCGAACAAGUACCGUGAGGGAAAGAUGAAAAGAACUUUGGAAAGAGAGUUAAACAGUACGUGAAAUUGCUGAAAGGGAAACGCUUGAAGUCAGUCGCGUUGUCCAGGGAUCAACCUUGCUUUUGCUUGGUGCACUUUCUGGUUAACGGGUCAGCAUCAAUUUUGACUGUUGGAAAAAGAUCUAGGGAAUGUGGCAUCUUUGGAUGUGUUAUAGCCCUUGGUUGCAUACAAUGGUUGGGAUUGAGGAACUCAGCACGCCGCAAGGCCGGGUUUU